GGGAAUGUUGCUCCGUGGAAGAGAUUCUGCUUUGAAUGCAGAAAGUUCCAGGUUCAAUCCCUGGCAUCUCCA
rnacentral:tRNA from 1 species